AUCUUCGGACCUUGCGCUAAUAGAUGAGCCUAAGUCAGAUUAGCUAGUUGGUGGGGUAAAGGCCUACCAAGGCGACGAUCUGUAGCGGGUCUGAGAGGAUGAUCCGCCACACUGGGACUGAGACACGGCCCAGACUCCUACGGGAGGCAGCAGUGGGGAAUAUUGGACAAUGGGCGAAAGCCUGAUCCAGCCAUGCCGCGUGUGUGAAGAAGGCCUUUUGGUUGUAAAGCACUUUAAGCGAGGAGGAGGCUACUUGGAUUAAUACUCUAGGAUAGUGGACGUUACUCGCAGAAUAAGCACCGGCUAACUCUG
rnacentral:rRNA from 2 species